ensembl:lncRNA
AUUUCACUUAUGUGGCAGUUUGGAACUAUUCUGUAGGUUAAAGAUAGCUCUACAAGGCCAGGUCUUCUUGGUCUUUAGAUGAAAUCCAUCAUUCAGUUUCAUUGCUAGAAAACCCACUACUACUUAACAAGACAAGAUAAAUGGAGAAAUUCAGUCUGUGGAUAAAUGGAAUUAAUAAGCAACAAAGAGAAUCUCAGGCAAGAUAUGAAGAAGGAACACUGCCUGGGUUCCAGAAGCUGUUCUAUGCUCAGUGAGACCUGGAUUCCUACUGCUUUUAAGAUCAGAUACCACCUGAAAUCCUGUGGUCAGUUCUGGAUUCCUUUGGAGAACAUUUUAGGAGUGGCAAAGUAAAUUGGACUCCACAGCGGGUAUGAGGAUGGAGAUAAGACCUUGGAUCCAUAUGGCAAAAGAGCCUCGAGAUGUUCAUCUAGAAUCAAGCCAAUCAAGAGGGAGUCAUUAUAACCACCUUUAAAUAAAGAACUGUUCUACAUAAUUAAAAUAAAUAAAUAAAUAAAAAUCUCAGGC